rnacentral:tRNA from 2 species
GCGGGGAUGGCGAAAUUUGGUAACCGCGAACCCCUUAAAAGGGUUUGAGUUUCACUCUUGCGGGUUCGAGUCCCGCUCCCCGCA